rnacentral:rRNA from 1 species
UACGAAGGGGGCUAGCGUUGCUCGGAAUCACUGGGCGUAAAGCGCACGUAGGCGGACUCUUAAGUCGGUGGUGAAAUCCUGGAGCUCAACUCCAGAACUGCCUUCGAUACUGAGAGUCUUGAGUCCGGGGGAGGUGAGUGGAACUGCGAGUGUAGAGGUGAAAUUCGUAGAUAUUCGCAAGAACACCAGUGGCGAAGGCGGCUCACUGGCCCGGUACUGACGCUGAGGUGCGAAAGAGUGGGGAGCAAACAGG